rnacentral:rRNA from 1 species
UAACACGUGGGCAACCUGCCCUGAAGCGGGGGAUAACAUCUGGAAACAGGUGCUAAUACCGCAUAACAACGAAAACCACAUGGCUUUCGUUUCAAAGAUGGCUUCGGCUAUCACUUCAGGAUGGGCCCGCGGUGCAUUAGCUAGUUGGUAAGGUAACGGCUUACCAAGGCGAUGAUGCAUAGCCGAGUUGAGAGACUGAUCGGCCACAAUGGAACUGAGACACGGUCCAUACUCCUACGGGAGGCAGCAGAC